rnacentral:rRNA from 1 species
CAGCACCUCAAGUGGUCAGGAUGAUUAUUGGGCCUAAAGCAUCCGUAUCCGGCGCUGUAAGUUUUCGGUUAAAUCUGUACGCUCAACGUACAGGCUGCCGGGAAUACUGCAGCGCUAGGGAGUGGGAGAGGUAGACGGUACUCGGUAGGAAGGGGUAAAAUCCUUUGAUCUAUUGAUGACCACCUGUGGCGAAGGCGGUCUACCAGAACACGUCCGACGGUGAGGGAUGAAAGCUGGGGGAGCAAACCGGAUUAGAGACCCGAGUAGUCC